rnacentral:rRNA from 1 species
GUCCUUGCCGUAAACGAUGUGGAUUAGGUGUCGGGAGUGUCGAUCCUCUCGGCGCCGCCGUUAACACAUUAAAUCCACCACCUGGGGAGUACGGUCGCAAGACUGAAACUCAAAGAAAUUGACGGGGACCCCGCACAAGCGGUGGAGCAUGUGGUUUAAUUCGAGGCUACGCGAAGAACCUUACCUGGGCUUGACAUGUUUGCAGUAGGCUGGAUGAAAGUUCGGCCGACCGUAUCCAAUCGGAGGCAUACACAGGUGCUGCAUGGCUGUCGU